CCCUUAGAUGUUCUGGGCCGCACGCGUGCUACAAUGGCAAAAUCAACGAGUAUACCUUUGUCGACAGACAUGGGAAAUCUUUUCAGUUCUUGCCGUGAUGGGGCUAGACCCUUGUAAUUGUUGGUCUCCAACGAGGAAUUCCUAGUAAACGCAAGUCAUUAUCUUGCAUUGAUUACGUCCCUGCCCUUUGUACACACCGCCCGUCGCUCCUACCGAUUGGGUGAUCCGGUGAAUGAUUCGGACUCUGGCUAUGCUAGCUACUAGCUACGUCAGGGAAAGUUUUGUGAACCUUAUCACUUGGAGGAAGGAGAAGUCGUAACA
rnacentral:rRNA from 1 species